GGGAGUGGCGCGGAGCAUGGCAGCAAGUUUCCAGGCGGGUGUGGCCACGGAACUGUGACGUCAGCGACCACACAGCAGCAUUCGCGUUCCCGUGCUACCGGAGGGCAGCCCAGCCACACAGCCACGCCGCAAGAAUGUCAGGUGGCGCUCACCAUGCGGAAACCUUGCAUCACCCAGAUAUCCCCCGACUGUUUGUUGUUCGUGGAGGAAUAUGGCACCAAGUGGUGGCCGCUU